rnacentral:lncRNA from 10 species
AUCUGGAGACUGGCUGCUCUCAGUGAAAAAAGAAGGAGUACUGCUAAUAGGCUUUCACCUCACAGCCUGAAUGCCAGGCCACCACACAAGAACUGAAGAGGCCAGGCUCCUCCCCAUUCUCCCAGUGUGCAGAUAAAGACACAUGUACUUAGAGAGAAAGAGUUGAUUUAAAGUUACACAGCUAUGUAGCAGCAGAAACAAAAUUUGAGUCCAGGAUACCUGGCCCCAGAAUCUACCUCUACUUCACAUGGCUUCUCAAAUACAUGCUGCCUGGAAAAUAGAGCAGCCAGUCUCCAGCUAAGAGAUGCUGUGUAAAGAAGAGAAAAAACG